rnacentral:rRNA from 1 species
AACGAACGCUGGCGGCAGGCCUAACACAUGCAAGUCGAGCGGACCCUUCGGGGUUAGCGGCGGACGGGUGAGUAACGCGUGGGAACGUGCCCUUUGCUUCGGAAUAGCCCUGGGAAACUGGGAGUAAUACCGGAUACGCCCUUUUGGGGAAAGAUUUAUCGGCGAAGGAUCGGCCCGCGUUGGAUUAGGUAGUUGGUGGGGUAAUGGCCUACCAAGCCGACGAUCCAUAGCUGGUUUGAGAGGAUGAUCAGCCACACUGGGACUGAGACACGGCCCAGACUCCUACGGGAGGCAGCAGUGGGGAAUCUUAGACAAUGGGGGAAACCCUGAUCUAGCCAUGCCGCGUGAGCGAUGAAGGCCUUAGGGUUGUAAAGCUCUUUCAGCUGGGAAGAUAAUGACGGUACCAGCAGAAGAAGCCCCGGCUAACUCCGUG